AGCGCAGGCGGGCGAUCAAGUUGGAAGUGAAAUCCAUGGGCUCAACCCAUGAACUGCUUUCAAAACUGGUCGUCUUGAGUAGUGCAGAGGUAGGCGGAAUUCCCGGUGUAGCGGUGGAAUGCGUAGAUAUCGGGAGGAACACCAGUGGCGAAGGCAGCCUACUGGGCACCAACUGACGCUGAGGCCCGAAAGUGUGGGUAGCAAACA
rnacentral:rRNA from 1 species